CUACGGGGUGCACCAGGCGCGCAACCUUUACAAUGCACUAACGUGUGAUAAGGGGACUCCAAGUGCUUAUGCUCAGCAUAGGCUUUUGCCAAGAGUGAAGACCUUGGCGAAUAAGCGGUGGGUAAGACUGGUGCCAGCAGCCGCGGUAACACCAGCGCCGCUAGUGGGGAUCGGUUUUAUUGGGCCUAAAGCAUCCGUAGCUGGCCUAACAAGUCUUUUGUGAAAUCGAGGAGCUUAACUCAUCGGAAUGCGGAAGAUACUGUUAGGCUUGGGACUGGGAGGAGUGAGAGGAAUUUCGUGGGAAGCGGUAAAAUGCUAUAAUCCUCGAAAGACCACCGAUGGCGAAGGCAUCUCACCAGAACAGAUCCGACAGUGAGGGAUGAAAGCUAGGGGAGCAAACCGGAUUAGAUACCCCGGUAGUC
rnacentral:rRNA from 1 species